ensembl:lncRNA
GCCAUGCUGCCUCCCCAAGCCUUCCCCCCACCUCUGUUCCAGGGCUCAGGGAGGCCUGCUCUGCCCAGGGCCUAACAGCUGUGGGGGGCUGGCAUCUGGCGGGGCUGACUCCCAAACCCGGCCUUUCCCACCUCAGCUUCUUUCUAGGUCAGGAUCACGCUGGGUCCCCUGAGCUGAUGUCAGGGCGUUGCUUCUGGAGGGUCUGCUCCUGCCUUUCCCGGCGUCUUGAGGUCGCCCAGAGUCCUUGGCUUGUGGCUCCUGCCUACGUCUCCUAAGAGAAACUGCGGUCAGGGCAUACGUGCACCCAAAGUCACGGCAACUGAGCUGGGAUUUAAUGCAUGUCGGGAAAAAGCUCUCAGGAGGGAAACGAAGAACUUUCUGAAAGCUCUCAUAGGGCUUCCCUUAUGACUCAGCGGUGAGGAGGCUGCCUGCCAACGCAGGGGAUGCAGGUUUGAUCCCUGGUCUGGGAAGAUGCCACAGGCCGCCGAGCAACUGGGCCAGCGCACCGCAACUACUGAGCCUGCGCUCUGGAGCCCGGCAACCGCAAGGACUGAGCCCACGCGCAGCAACUAUGGAGGCCGCACACCCAGUGCCGGGCCCUGUCCUAAGAGAAGCCACUGCAGUGAGAAGCCAGCGCACCGCAACUGGAGAGCAGCCCCCGCUCACCGCCACCGGAGGAAGCAACCAAGACCCGGCACAGCCAAACAUAAAUAAAUUAAUCUUUUAAAAAAAGCUCUCAGUUGUUAAAUACUAAAAUAUGUUAUUUCUAAGUCCAUCCAUUAUAAAUUUCCCCCUGAACGAUUCCCAGGUAAUAUUAUCAGCAACAAAUUAUAAACAACUAUAAAACGGCUCAAGAAGAGAAUAUAUAUUACAGGAGUCCCCUUUUUUUUUUUUUUGGGGCAGAGAGGCUUGAGGGAUCUUAGUUCCUAGACCAGGGAUUGAACCCAGGUCCUGGUAGUGAGAGAAUGGAGCCUCUUGGGAAUGCUUAGCAAGCUGUCCUUUUGAAAUGAGAGCUACCAGAUGGGAUACAGCAAAAGUAUUGGAGCUUCAGCUUCAGCAUCAGUCCUUCCAAGGAAUAUUCAGGGUUGAUUUCCUUUAGGGUGGACUGGUUGGAUCUCCUUGCAGUCCAAGGGACUCUCAAGAGUCUUCCCCAGCACCACAGUUGGAAAGCAACAACUCUUUGGCACUCAGCCUUCUUUAGGGUCCAACUGUCACAUUCUGGUAAGAUGGGGAUGAGAAGGCGGCCCAGGGAGAAAUCCCCCAAACUCCCACAGCGACUCAGUGGCAAAGAUGGGGUUUGAACUUGAAUUUGGAAACCCCAUGGACUGGACAGAGGAGCCUGGGGGGCUACGGUCCAUGCGGUCACAAAGAGUUGGACACGACUUAGCGACUAAACAAUGCCCGAAUCCAGGCCUUUGCUUCCCGGGCCCGUUCAUCAUCCAGCCAUGCCCCGGGUGGCAGCCCAGUAGGCAGUGGCCGAAGCCCAGCCAGGCACAGGGCUCAGAGGGGGCACCAGGCCAGCCGCAGCACGGUAGCAGCGGGCACUGAGUGUGGCGGCCUGCAUGGGCAUGACCCGUGCCAGCAGUAGGCAGC